rnacentral:rRNA from 1 species
GACGAACGCUGGCGGCGUGCUUAACACAUGCAAGUCGAACGGAAAGGCCCGGCUUUUGUGGGGUACUCGUGUGUCGCGCGGGUGAGUCACACGUGGGUAACCUGCCCUUGGCUGUGGGCUACCUUCAGUAACCUGUGGCUAAUACCGGAUAAGAACUCCUGCUCCAUGGUGGGGGUUGGCGAGUUUCGGCGGUUUGGGAUGGACACGCGGCUUAUCAGCUUGUUGGUGGGGUAGUGGCUUACCAAGGCUUUGACGGGUAGCCGGCCUGAGCGGGGGACCGGCCACAUUGGGACUGAGAUACGGCCCAGACUCCUACGGGAGGAAGCAGUGGGGAAGAAUGCACAAUGGGCGGAAGCCGGAUGCAGCAACGCCGCGUGGGGGAGGAAGGCGGUCGGGUGGUAAACAGCUUCUGCCCGUGACGAAGCGUGAGUGACGGUAAUGGGUAAAGAAGCACCGGCUAACUACGUG